ensembl:lncRNA
AAAACAUUCCAGGCUACCCUGGAUGCUUUGAUCUGAGAGGUACAUAUGACUGACAUGGUGUUCUCAGUUUCAGCAAUGACCAGAGCGCAUUAGGUUAGAGUGACAUGUUUAUGUUGAUUGGAGAACCAGCCCUUGUGUUGAUCCGGGCAGUGUGAGGAGGGAAGCGUUACGUUGGCCGGUGGUUUCAGACGGGCCAACAGCCUUCAGCUGCCGCUUGGCUGUUUCGUCCACAAGGUGUCCGGGGAGGGAAGAGGUGGUCAGCCCCUGGCCUGUUGAACCACUGCUACACAGAGAGAUCUGAAGAGGUGGUCAGCCCCUGGCCUGUUGAACCACUGCUACACAGAGAGAUCUGAAGAGGUGGUCAGCCCCUGGCCUGUUG